rnacentral:rRNA from 1 species
GACGAACGCUGGCGGCGUGCUUAACACAUGCAAGUCGAACGGAAAGGCCCUGCUUUUGUGGGGUGCUCGAGUGGCGAACGGGUGAGUAACACGUGAGUAACCUGCCCUUGACUUUGGGAUAACUUCAGGAAACUGGGGCUAAUACCGGAUAGGAGCUCCUGCUGCAUGGUGGGGGUUGGAAAGUUUCGGCGGUUGGGGAUGGACUCGCGGCUUAUCAGCCUGUUGGUGGGGUAGUGGCUUACCAAGGCUUUGACGGGUAGCCGGCCUGAGAGGGUGACCGGCCACAUUGGGACUGAGAUACAGCCCAGACUCCUACGGGAGGCAGCAGUGGGGAAUAUUGCACAAUGGGCGGAAGCCUGAUGCAGCAACGCCGCGUGCGGGAUGACGGCCUUCGGGUUGUAAACCGCUUUCGCCUGUGACGAAGCGUGAGUGACGGUAAUGGGUAAAGAAGCACCGGCUAACUACGUG